UGAUAUACACUCGGAAGUGAAUCACAGAACCUGUCUGAUAAAUACAUUUUAGUUUUAUUUACUUAAAGUUAAAGCUGAAGUGUAAGCAUCAGCUUGAUUGAAUCCAUAACAAAGAGGUAAUUACAAUUUUAGCUGUGACAGCAAAUUUCAGCAGAAGGUAAGUGUUCUGAUUUCUUUACGAUUGUUAUUGUUAUGCCUUCUUGUGAGAGCGAGCGAUAUUGUUUUGAUAAUAAUGGAUUCUUGGAUUCAGAACGGAGAAAGCAUAUCGCAUUCCCUAAAUUAUCAAAAACGUUAAAAAUAUUUCUAAUUUAUGAGACAGUGUAAUUGCAAAGUGCAAAGAUUCAAUUUUAUUUACAGUUAUGGUAAGGUUUCUAUGCGGAGGCUAUCGUUAACUCACAUGCAUGAGCAUUUGUAAGAAGACAGCGACAUAACAAUGGCUGGCAUGUACACAAAACAACAGAGCUGUCCAUUUUGCAUGUACGCAAUUUCGUUAUACCUUUCACUUCAAUGAAAUUUUAAUAUUUUGUUCAAGUGAAAUUUUUUAUGCAAAAAAUAACUAAAUAUGUAAAUUUAUUUGUUUUAAAUUAUCAAUUGUUAUAGCAAAUGAUAUAACUGAGCUAUUUUAUUCUUUUAUUUGUAAAAUAACGUCGGGUUUGUUAGAUCUUUGAAUAAUUAUACAUACAUAUUAGUGUCAUCACUCCUUUCUACUGUCAACACUACUGUUUAAAUAACUGUGUUCUUAUGGAAGGCAUACACGCACCAAUUAUUGUACCAAUUUCAUCGAAUUGUACAACUGAUUGUUAUGUAUAUGAGGCAGUUGUAUGAGUUGUACAAACUGAUUGGAUGAAAAUCAAAAUUUUUUGAUAUUUUGUCAAGUUGGUUGUGCUAGUUGGAUCGUGUUUGGGUUGGUAGUGCGAUUUCACACGAUUUCGCCAUUUUAUUUCGGCUGUUGAAGAGAGCGCGUCAUAUAUAAUAAGUAAAUCAACAACUUCCGAACACAUGUUUAAGCAACGAAGUGAAUAUUCAAAAUGAAGUUGGCCUCAAAAUUGUAUUAAAAGUUGUGUCGCAUGUAGCGACAAGGGCAAUUUCUAGCCCAACUCAAUCAACCAACUAAUUGUUGUGUGUAUGCCUUCCAUUAAGAGCGUGUGUAUUUUAAUAUUUGACCGAUGUCGCAUGCAGUCUUUUUUUUUUUUAUAGUAGGAGGAAGCAUCGAAAGCCGGAGUGCGGAACUUUAAUCCGCUAAACCUAACCUACUCCCAACUCAAGACACUCCCACGGAACCACCAGGUAAGGUAUUACUUCAUGGGAGUGACAAGACAUUUUAAGUCUCCUCUAUAACACGGACGGACUAACGCCUACUCUGCUGUAACUGUCUUAAUGUAGUCAUGAUGGAAGUUGCCGCUUCGCGAACAGCUAUCCAUUUGUCAGAGGACUGACACAUAAAUGCAGUCAAAUUUUCCACCGUUAGGCUACCACCUAGUGAGGUUUCUAACUUUUUUCUUAUGUUUCGAAACCGAAGACAAUGGAAAAACACGUGUUCAGAGUCUUCUAUGGACUCCGCACACAUCGAACAAUAUGGACUGACGUCAUUUUGAAAUUUGUAUAGAUAGCCUCUGAAGCACCCAUGCCCGCUUAAUAUUUGGGUCAGGUGGAAAUCCAGGUCCCCAUGUCGUCUACUUAUCCACGUAUGGAUGUCAGGUAUAAGUCUGUGGGUCCACCGUCCUUUAGUUGAGGUUUGCCACCGUUGCUGCCAUAUAGUUAUGCUCUUCUUUCUCUCUUCUCUCUUUUGGGUUUCUGUAAUUGGCGCUGAUAGCUCAUAUAAUCUUGUGAGCUCGUCACCCUGGAUAAUCGCAUGCAGUCUGUCGCGCUCUAUGUGUUCAGCACUUCAGUGUGAAAUACAACGCCCUAUACCAAAGAUGGAUAAGCAAGAACAAAUGCGUUAUAACUUAGUUUUCGACAAUAAUGAUAACCAAAAAAUGGGCAUUCGAAUGGUUGAUUGGUGAUACGCGUUUAUAGCAGACAUUGGGAACCUUGGCGAAAAGGUCGCCCAGAGUGUGGGUUAACCUCCUACACAUAUAAGCAUGGCUGCGUAAUCCCUAAAUUAACUAUUUAUUUAUUUCCUUAGUGUUUUUGUGUGCUUUUGUGUGACACUCGACACUUUCCAAUUUUCUGUUGUGUCGUCUAAUAAUGUAACAUUGUGUUUAUAUUAGGUAGUCAAAAAAGUCUUUUCGUAUUUCUAAUCAAACUUCAACAUAUUUUUUUUUAUAUUUAUACUAAUAAAUAAGUAACCAAAUAUGUAUGUACCGUUUUGGUCGACUACUUUUCCGCUAGAGACAUUAUUCCAUCAGUGCAAAACUUUUAUCAGUGUAAAUCGAAAUUUCCAGAACGGAAGCGAUCGAACCAAUGUUGUGCUACUCGAACUGAUACAGCAUCGUCUCCAUAAACUUCAGAAAAUUUCAAUGGUAGCUUGUGUGGCAUUCUUCCCUUUUUUAUACAAAAAUUUCAAAAUAAAGAGAAUUUUUUCAUUAUUUUCACUAA